rnacentral:tRNA from 1 species
UCUGAGAGUGGCAGAAGAAGUGCCAUGAACUUAAAAUUCAUAUAUGAAUUUUAUAUUAAUUUCCUUAGAA